UGAUCGUCUAAUGGUUAGGACAUUGCGUUGUGGCCGCAAUAUAACCCAGGUUCGAAUCCUGGUAACAGAA